CCACCUGGAAAAAAUAUUAAUCUUAUCCAACCUUUAUUUCCUCAAAUACCUGAAGAUUGAAAUGAAGAUGAAAGCAAUGAUGUCUCGACUUAAAAAUAUGUUAAUGUUUAAAUAAAAAUGAAAGAAAAAAAAAAAAACCUUCUUAAAUGAUGUAUUUAAUUCGUACCAAAAAGAAAACAAUGACAGGAACAUGGAUAUAAAGCAUCCUUGUAAGAAUUUUAGCCCAUCUAAUCAGAAAAGCGAAUGCAAAUAGCUUGAAAACAAAAUUUGCUGAGUACAACAAAGAGACAAUGAGAUGUGGAAGCUCAUAGUUCCUUACAUCUUUUUUUUUAUCGAGGCAGACGGAUUCUUCGAGGAUUUGUCAUGAAGAAAACAGAACACCAGGAUGAAUAAAGCUUGUGAACCACGUGAAACAUCGCAAGUUGUGCAGGCUAGACUAACAAAGAUCUCAGCAAGGUUCCCUAUACAAGUCGCUUUGGCCUUCAGGAUUCACAAGUUGGGGUAAUCAAAAUGAAAAAGAUUAGUAGUGUAGAUUGAGAUUUUAACCCACUAUAAUUAUGUUCUCAGGAACAGGCUUGUAAUUAUGCAAGAUAAUAUUUGAAAUGAAAAAAAAAAAAAA